UACAGAGGUCCCAAGCGUUGUUCGGAUUCACUGGGCGUAAAGGGUGCGUAGGUGGCCUGGUCAGUCUGAUGUGAAAUCUCCGAGCUUAACUCGGAAAUGGCAUUGGAUACUAUCGGGCUGGAGGAUUGGAGGGGGGACUGGAAUUCUCGGUGUAGCAGUGAAAUGCGUAGAUAUCGAGAGGAACACCAGUGGCGAAGGCGAGUCCCUGGACAAUACCUGACACUGAGGCACGAAAGCUAGGGGAGCAAACAGG
rnacentral:rRNA from 1 species